UAGGGAAUUUUGCACAAUGGGGGAAACCCUGAUGCAGCAACGCCGCGUGAGUGAAGAAGGCCUUCGGGUUGUAAAGCUCUGUUCUUGAGGAACAAAAAAAUGAGGGUACUUGAGGAGAAAGGACCGGCUAACUUCGUGCCAGCAGCCGCGGUAAGACGAGGGGUCCGAGCGUUGUCCGGAAUCAUUGGGCGUAAAGAGGGUGUAGGUGGUUUUGUAAGUCAGGAGUGAAAGACCCAGGCUCAACCUGGGGGUUGCUUUUGAUACUGCAAGGCUUGAGUGUGAAAGGGGGCAGUGGAAUUCCUGGUGUAGCGGUGAAAUGCGUAGAUAUCAGGAGGAAUAUCGGAGGCGAAGGCGUCUGUCUGGUUCAACACUGACACUGAGACCCGAGAGCGUGGGUAGCAAACAGG
rnacentral:rRNA from 1 species